UCUUACUCAGUUCAGUGGGUGUGCUUGC
rnacentral:piRNA from 1 species